rnacentral:rRNA from 1 species
UACAGAGGGGGCAAGCGUUGUUCGGAAUUACUGGGCGUAAAGGGCGCGUAGGCGGCCUGUUAAGUCGGAUGUGAAAUCCCCGGGCUCAACCCGGGAACUGCGUCCGAUACUGGCAGGCUUGAAUCCGGGAGAGGGAUGCGGAAUUCCAGGUGUAGCGGUGAAAUGCGUAGAUAUCUGGAGGAACACCGGUGGCGAAGGCGGCAUCCUGGACCGGCAUUGACGCUGAGGCGCGAAAGCCAGGGGAGCAAACGGG